CCUUCCCUUUCCUUAUUUAGGAUUAACUAUUUAAAGCACUUUUUAGGGUUUCAUUAGCAUCAGUUAUCAGAUUAUUAUCGAAACACAGUGUGUGUGUGUGUGUGUGUGAUUGACUAUUGAGACUUUAUUCAUUACUUUUCUCUCUAGCUUUCAAUUACACUUUUGGAUCAUAACUUUUAAGAAUAUUGUUACCAUUAUUUUGGGAUUUUUAGUUGGAAUAAAUUCAAGCAACACUUUUGAUUUUCAUAUUGCUGUAAGUAAACCUUCUCAAUUAUGGAUUCAACUUGUGAACAUGUUUGUUCUAGCAUGAGUGGCUAAACCCUUUAGCCCGAUUUAUGGGAUCUGUGGGUUAGGUUUUGACUUGAUGCUAGGUGUCUAAAAAUUCGAAAGGUGGUAGGAGUAUGUUGUAAUUCCUUUGUUUUACACUUAAUCAUCUAUUGGUUGCAAACAAUAGGUUUGCCUUAGGUUUAUUGCUCUAACCGAGAAAUAAAUUAGAGGAAGUGAAUUAUCAACAGAGUGUGGGAAGGCUAGCUCUCACUUAACGGUAACAGGAUUAAUCUACUUCAGAUAACAUCCGGUUAGCAAGUAUAAGUUAUCUAAGUUCGAGAGAAUUAGGUAAUAAAUUGUUGGGAUAGGUCGAGAGACAUUCAGAUAGAAUUUAGGCAAGGAUAAUCUGUUGCUUCUAUCCACCAAGAGAAUCUUGAACCGCAUCUAGUUUCUGUCAAAUACCAACACCCAUAGUGAACAUAACUCCGGCUUGUCCUCAAAUCUUAGUUACAACCAUUCCAAUUACUGUGAUAUCUACUUGUUUGUUAAAACUCCAAACCCCUAAUUCACAGGAAGCAAUAGACUACCAGUCAGUUAACUAGCAUACAAUUUAAUUUCACAAGUGUAUUCCUUGUGGGAUUCGACCCCAACCUAGUUGGGUUAUAUAUUGACGACAAUCGCUUGCAUUCUCAUACCAGAGGUGUAAUUUGAGCGUUAUCAUAACCCAAUUAGUUAUUUCUUUCCGAGACUACACAUUCCUUACCCUUAAGAGUACUCUCAUCUUCCAAGAAGAGAUGAAAUUGUCACACCAUAGUGAGGUAUAGCAUAUAAGCUAUAGCCUUCAAGACAAGCUAUACUCCCAACAUCAUUCUCACCGCUAGGUCCAUUAGGAGUGAUUAUACCAUCUUCAAAUAAGAAAUUUACCUAAAAUGAGAAUGAUCUAUCCUGGGGCAGAUUUGGCACAAGCAAGUUCACUCUCUAAAGGACAACCAUCAAGUUUCAAAAGGUUUCAAACACAUAAUCAUUCCGGUGAACAAAACAGUCCAUAGGAUCUUCUUUACCAAAUGUCAAGCUCACGGUUUCACUCCUAUUAUUCUGACCAACAUUUUCAAAUUACUCUCUCACUUGAGGUCUAUUAAUUACAACACACAUAACCUCAAGUGGUGGACUAGUUCCGCACACAAGUUGAUCAACACAAUUCCCAUAAGAUGAUGUACUAUCAUUCAACAUAAUGACUUCAACACUAGGUGGACACAAAUUAAUCUUACAAGAAGAGUAAAUUCGGUCAUCAAUAAGAUCAACUAGUGUAUCCACACUCAUAACAUAUACAACAUCAUCAAGAGGCAAAGAAUGAAUAGACGAUGUACUAUCAUUCAACACAAUGACUUCAAUACUAGGUGGACAUAAAUUGAUCUUACAAAGAGUGUAUUUGGUCAUCAAUAGGAUCAACUUGUGUAUCCUCACUCACAACAUGUACAUCAUCAACAAGAGGCAAAAAAUGAAUAAACUCACAAGUAGGUAAGCUACUAUUCACACUCAAUGGGCUACUGGCCACACAAACAGCAUUCGCAUACGCAAAAGUGUAAGAGUUAGCUAUUUUACCUUGAAGUUCUUGAGUAUAUUAUUCUUUACCUUGGUGUGAACGUUUCCCACAAGCUUCAGCAACAACUAAGAUUUCCCUAACCUUAAAAAGGAAUCUUCUCCUUCCUCCGCUUGCCAUGUGGUAUUGAUACAGGCACGACUAUGAAGAUUGAUGUGUGUGCAAGUGUGACACGAGGCCAUCCAAGGGAGUGCAAUGCUAAAGUGUGGGGAGGACCAAAAUGCAUACUAAAGAUGCUCCACUUUACACUAAAGAGAGUCAAGCAAAAUGGGAGAAAAGGGAUGGUACUUCUAUUGCAAAAGAGGGAGAAAAUACAGGAACAGUAUUAGACAAACAGGGUGACAGGUUCUGGAUUCUGGAAUAGGCUACUGGUAUUGAUAAGCCUAUUUAUAAUUCUACUGCUUGUCAUGAAUGUAUUGGCCUCAAGAAGUCAUUGGUUUACUAUUGAGGCAGUGCUGGAAAAGGCACAAAAACUGAUUGGAUGAUGCAUGAGUUUCGACUUCCUGCUGAAAAUGACAAAUCCACUAAACAUAGUCAAGCUAAAAGCAUUGCUCAAGAAGCUGUUUGACUUGUUAACUGCAGUAGAAUCUGAGAAUGAAUGUGAUGAUUGAAGUCUUUGACAGUCUAUUCCCUCUGCAGUUGCAAUGGCUGUAGCUAAAGUUGCAAGUGAUGUCAAGGCUAAAGGUUCUCUUUGUCAAGCCUCUAGUAUAUUGGACUCGGUUUUUCAUUAUUGCUACUGCAUUCUCUCGCCCACAGAUUGAUGCCAUUGGGACCAGAAUAAGAGAUAUGGCUGAGGAACAAUAUGGAAAAGUUGCUUCAGGAGAUUCAAAACCCAGCUCGUGGACGCUACUGGACUUUGGUGCUAGUAAGCCAUGAAAGUGUGUUAUUCUCCUUGCUGAUAUGCGCUCCAUGCCUCUCUUAAUCACUGGUGACAUUGUCGUUCAUAUAUUUCUUCCUCAGCAGCGCGAGUACUACUAUCUGGAAGAAUUCUAUCUAUAGCAAUGCAGCAUCCAUCGAAGUGCCAUUUGAGAACCAACAAAAAUUGCGAGGAUGUAGCGGUUAUUGAAGUCCCAACAUUUUGGCCUCGGGGUGAUUGACAGAAACUGUAGCAAUUUAAGAGUCAGUUAACUGCUGACAAUGAGAUGAUUAACUGUGUUGAUCCACCUGCUGUACCAUUUUUUAUUAGGAAGAAUAUAAUUCUUGUAGAAGAUGAAGCUCUGUACUUGAGUUUUUGCUCUGUAGAAAAUCUGGUAAAGAAACAGUUUACUUGCAUUCGUACUGAAUUAAACGAAUCCCUCAAUGGACUCAUUAUCUCA